CCUACGGGUGACAGCAGUGGGGAAUAUUGGGCAAUGGGCGCAAGCCUGACCCAGCAACGCCGCGUGAAGGAAGAAGGCUUUCGGGUUGUAAACUUCUUUUCUCAGGGACGAAGAAAGUGACGGUACCGGAGGAAUAAGCCACGGCUAACUACGUGCCAGCAGCCGCGGUAAUACGUAGGUGGCAAGCGUUAGCCGGAUUUAUUGGGUGUAAAGGGCGUGUAGGCGGGAGCGCAAGUCAGAUGUGAAAACUCAGGGCUCAACCCUGAGCCUGCAUUUGAAACUGUGUUUCUUGCGUGCUGGGGAGGCAAUCGGAAUUCCGUGUGUAGCGGUGAAAUGCGUAGAUAUACGGAGGAACACCAGUGGCGAAGGCGGAUUGCUGGACAGUAACUGACGCUGAGGCGCGAAAGCGUGGGGAGCAAACAGGAUUAGAUACCCGUGUAGUC
rnacentral:rRNA from 1 species